rnacentral:rRNA from 1 species
CGAGUGGCGAACGGGUGAGUAACACGUGGAUAACCUGCCUCAAGGCUGGGGAUAACAUUUGGAAACAGAUGCUAAUACCGAAUAAAACUUAGUAUCGCAUGAUAUCAAGUUAAAAGGCGCUACGGCGUCACCUAGAGAUGGAUCCGCGGUGCAUUAGUUAGUUGGUGGGGUAAAGGCUUACCAAGACGAUGAUGCAUAGCCGAGUUGAGAGACUGAUCGGCCACAUUGGGACUGAGACACGGCCCAAACUCCUACGGGAGGCUGCAGUAGGGAAUCUUCCACAAUGGGCGCAAGCCUGAUGGAGCAACGCCGCGUGUGUGAUGAAGGCUUUCGGGUCGUAAAGCACUGUUGUAUGGGAAGAAAUGCUAAAAUAGGGAAUGAUUUUAGUUUGACGGUACCAUACCAGAAAGGGACGGCUAAAUACGUGCCAGCAGCCGCGGUAAUACGUAUGUCCCGAGCGUUAUCCGGAUUUAUUGGGCGUAAAGCGAGCGCAGACGGUUGAUUAAGUCUGAUGUGAAAGCCCGGAGCUCAACUCCGGAAUGGCAUUGGAAACUGGUUAACUUGAGUGUUGUAGAGGUAAGUGGAACUCCAUGUGUAGCGGUGGAAUGCGUAGAUAUAUGGAAGAACACCAGUGGCGAAGGCGGCUUACUGGACAACAACUGACGUUGAGGCUCGAAAGUGUGGGUAGCAAACAGGAUUAGAUACCCUGGUAGUCCACACCGUAAACGAUGAAUACUAGGUGUUAGGAGGUUUCCGCCUCUUAGUGCCGAAGCUAACGCAUUAAGUAUUCCGCCUGGGGAGUACGACCGCAAGGUUGAAACUCAAAGGAAUUGACGGGGACCCGCACAAGCGGUGGAGCAUGUGGUUUAAUUCGAAGCAACGCGAAGAACCUUACCAGGUCUUGACAUCCUUUGAAGCUUUUAGAGAUAGAAGUGUUCUCUUCGGAGACAAAGUGACAGGUGGUGCAUGGUCGUCGUCAGCUCGUGUCGUGAGAUGUUGGGUUAAGUCCCGCAACGAGCGCAACCCUUAUUGUUAGUUGCCAGCAUUCAGUUGGGCACUCUAGCGAGACUGCCGGUGACAAACCGGAGGAAGGCGGGGACGACGUCAGAUCAUCAUGCCCCUUAUGACCUGGGCUACACACGUGCUACAAUGGCGUAUACAACGAGUUGCCAACCUGCGAAGGUGAGCUAAUCUCUUAAAGUACGUCUCAGUUCGGACUGCAGUCUGCAACUCGACUGCACGAAGUCGGAAUCGCUAGUAAUCGCGGAUCAGCACGCCGCGGUGAAUACGUUCCCGGGUCUUGUACACACCGCCCGUCACACCAUGGGAGUUUGUAAUGCCCAAAGCC